rnacentral:lncRNA from 1 species
CUGGUGGGAAGAACAUGCAGGCAUUGCAGAGAGCCAUCCAGGAGCAUAGGUGAGAGGCAUGCAUCCCCCCGUGACACAGAGAUGUAGCUCCUGCAUUUACAUCCCAAAGACAUUCUUGCACGACCCACAAGAAGAUACAGAGAAGGAUGCUCAGCACAGCAUUGCUUUCCACAAAGAGUAGCAGGCAAUGGAGAGGCCAUCGCCCAGGAACGAAAAAGGUUUGUGGUUUCUUAAGUCACCAUCUGGAACUUGUGUCUCCCCUGUUGUCACGCCACUAGGACCUCAGAGCUCACGAGGCCUGAGCGUCCAACCGGCCUGCCCUACCAGCCCAUCGGCCUGGUCUCUGCCUACCCCACCUGCCCGCUUUUCUAUUCCAAACCUCAUUCUUCCCGCUCAGAGCCCUGGGACCUGACAGCUACUUCUCUCUCCACCAGGAAGAAGGGAGCCCAGUGUUCCUAGUGAGAGAGCCCAGCUCCUUGCAGGGAACUGAACUCCUCCCACCCCCAGUGGGGCCAACAGAGGACUCGGGAUUCAACCUCAAGCUUGAGACGCAGAAUCAUCAGCAAACUCUGGGCUGCGAUGGGGUGAGGAUGAAUGAGGGUGCUCACUGGGACCCCAACUCAGAGAAGAUGGGAAGGGUUGUGUCUUAGAGGACAGCUGGCAUUCUCAGCUGCUGGUGUUUGUGUUCAUCUGAGACAGAAGCAAGGAUAAAUCAGAAAACCCAUCACCAGCAAAGGCAGUGAGAGGGAGACUGGAUGCCAGGUAUGGUCAGCUUGGCAUGGAGAGGCCAGCACAGGCGUGCCCAGGGCCCAGGGCCUCAGCACGGCCCAGCUCUCCCCUACACCAGCUCCUCCUCAUCCCCCUGACCACUUAAAGACCCAAGAGCCCUGGCGCUCAGUCCCUGGUCCUCUCUUCUCUGUCCACACUCGACCUUGUUAAUCUCACUCAGUCGCAAGGCUUAAUGUCAUCUAUAUGUUGGAAACUCCCAAAUCGAUUGAAUUGAUCUCCUGAAUCUCAGAAUCACGUAUCCAGUUUCCUACUUGACGUAUUUCUGCUUGGAUGUCUAACAGACAUCUAUGGGGGUAAUCCAUCACUGCGUAACAAACUCCCCAAAACUUAGAGUCCUGAAAGAGUGAUGUAUUGUUUCUCGUGAUUCUGUUGGUCAGGAGCUCAUCUGGAUGGUUCUUCUGCUCUGUAUGAUGUUGGCUAGAGUGGCUCCCACAGCUGCAUUCUCUGGAAACUCAGCUGGAACUAGAAGCUCUUUCUCUCCUGUGUGUUAGUUGGUGUUGAUUGUCUGUUGGUCUCAGCU